UCGGGGUCAGCGGCGGACGGGUGAGUAACGCGUGGGAACGUGCCUUCCGGUUCGGAAUAACCCUGGGAAACUAGGGCUAAUACCGGAUACGCCCUUUUGGGGAAAGGUUUACUGCCGGAAGAUCGGCCCGCGUCUGAUUAGCUAGUUGGUGGGGUAACGGCCUACCAAGGCGACGAUCAGUAGCUGGUCUGAGAGGAUGAUCAGCCACACUGGGACUGAGACACGGCCCAGACUCCUACGGGAGGCAGCAGUGGGGAAUAUUGGACAAUGGGCGCAAGCCUGAUCCAGCCAUGCCGCGUGAGUGAUGAAGGCCUUAGGGUUGUAAAGCUCUUUUAUCCGGGACGAUAAUGACGGUACCGGAGGAAUAAGCCCCGGCUAACUUCGUGCCAGCAGCCGCGGUAAUACGAAGGGGGCUAGCGUUGCUCGGAAUCACUGGGCGUAAAGGGCGCGUAGGCGGCGUUUUAAGUCGGGGGUGAAAGCCUGUGGCUCAACCACAGAAUGGCCUUCGAUACUGGGACGCUUGAGUAUGGUAGAGGUUGGUGGAACUGCGAGUGUAGAGGUGAAAUUCGUAGAUAUUCGCAAGAACACCGGUGGCGAAGGCGGCCAACUGGACCAUUACUGACGCUGAGGCGCGAAAGCGUGGGGAGCAAA
rnacentral:rRNA from 1 species